AAUCAACGCUGGCGGCGUGCCUCAGACAUGCAAGUCGAACGAUUAAAGCUCUCUUCGGAGGGUGUAUAGAGUGGCGCACGGGUGAGUAACACGUAAGUAAUCUACCUUCGAGUGGGGAAUAACCCGGGGAAACCCGAGCUAAUACCGCAUAAUGCAGCGGCAUCUAAUGAUGACAGUUGUUAAAGAUUUAUCGCUUGAAGAGGAGCUUGCGGCAGAUUAGCCAGUUGGUAAGGUAAUGGCUUACCAAGGCUACGAUCUGUAACCGGUCUAAGAGGACGGUCGGUCACACUGACACUGAAUAACGGGUCAGACUCCUACGGGAGGCAGCAGUCGGGAAUUUUGGGCAAUGGGCGAAAGCCUGACCCAGCAACGCCGCGUGAAGGAU
rnacentral:rRNA from 1 species